rnacentral:rRNA from 1 species
UACGAAGGGGGCUAGCGUUGCUCGGAAUUACUGGGCGUAAAGCGCACGUAGGCGGCUUUUUAAGUCGGGGGUGAAAUCCUGGAGCUCAACUCCAGAACUGCCUUCGAUACUGGAAAGCUCGAGUCCGGGAGAGGUGAGUGGAACUGCGAGUGUAGAGGUGAAAUUCGUAGAUAUUCGCAAGAACACCAGUGGCGAAGGCGGCUCACUGGCCCGAUACUGACGCUGAGGUGCGAAAGCGUGGGGAGCAAACAGGG